UGGGGGAAAGAAAGCCUGUAGGAUGCUC
rnacentral:piRNA from 2 species